rnacentral:rRNA from 1 species
UACGUAGGGGGCAAGCGUUGUCCGGAUUUAUUGGGCGUAAAAGGCUUGUAGGUGGCCACGCCAAGUCGGAUGUGAAAUCUCCCGGCUCAACUGGGGAGGGGUCAUUCGAUACUGGCGGGCUCGAGGCCGGUAGGGGGAAGUGGAAUUCCCGGUGUAGUGGUGGAAUGCGUAGAUAUCGGGAGGAACACCAGUGGCGAAGGCGGCUUCCUGGACCGGUUCUGACACUGAGGAGC